rnacentral:rRNA from 1 species
AAAUGAAUAGACGGGGACCCGCACAAGCGGUGGAGCAUGUGGUUUAAUUCGAAGCAACGCGAAGAACCUUACCAAGUCUUGACAUCGGAAUGACAGCCUUAUAACUAAGGUCUCCCUACGGGGCAUUCUAGACAGGUGGUGCAUGGUUGUCGUCAGCUCGUGUCGUGAGAUGUUGGGUUAAGUCCCGCAACGAGCGCAACCCUUAUCCUUAGUAGCCAGCAGUUCGGCUGGGCACUCUGGGGAGACUGCCAGGGAUAACCUGGAGGAAGGUGGGGAUGACGUCAAAUCAUCAUGCCCCUUAUGAUUUGGGCUACACACGUGCUACAAUGGCGUAAACAAAGGGAAGCGAAGGAGCGAUCUGGAGCAAACCCCAAAAAUAACGUCUCAGUUCGGAUUGUAGUCUGCAACUCGACUACAUGAAGCUGGAAUCGCUAGUAAUCGCAGAUCAGAAUGCUGCGGUGAAUACGUUCCCGGGUCUUGUACACACCGCCCGU